GGACUACCGGGGUAUCUAAUCCCGUUUGCUCCCCUGGCUUUCGCGCCUCAGCGUCAGAAAAGGUCCAGCACGCUGCUUUCGCCAUCGGUGUUCCUUCCGAUAUCUACGCAUUUCACCGCUCCACCGGAAGUUCCGCAUGCCCCUACCUCCCUCCAGACCGCCAGUAUCGAAGGCCAUUGUCCGGUUGAGCCGAACGAUUUCACCACCGACUUGACAGCCCGCCUACGCGCCCUUUAAACCCAGUGAUUCCGAACAACGUUCGCACGGUUCGUCUUACCGCGGCUGCUGGCAC
rnacentral:rRNA from 3 species